UCCAUCUUCACUUCUUUUCUAUAUCCACAAUCCUACUCGAUCGGCUAUAUAUUCUCUUUCUCCUCAAGCUUUUCUUGCAUUCAUAUUUAAGCUAUAUAGAGUAUCAUCUCAUCUCUUUUCUUCUCUUCUAGCUCUUGGAUUUUGGAAAAUGAACAAGCCUCCAAAGUACGCUACUCCAUACCCAGCCCAAGGUUAUUAUCAGGGUCCUCCCCCUCCAGUGAUGCCACCGCCAACAUAUGCUGUUCCUCCACCUCGUAAAAACAGAGGUUUUCUUAAGGGAUGCUUGGCAGCGUUAUGUUGUUGUUGCCUCCUAGACGAGUGUUGCUGUGAUCCCUCUGAUAUCUUCCUGUUCUAAGAUGCAAUCAUGGGAAUUAGUCCUUUGCUUCUUCUUUUUGAAAAGAUUUUAUGCAAAUAAUUCUAGCUAGGAUCAGCUAGUUUUGUUGUAUAUCACAAUAUACAUCUUACAUUUUCUUGAUCCUUUUGCAACUUAGUUUGGAUUUGUACAGUGAUCAUCUUUAAUCAUUGAACCCAUUUUGUUUCU